rnacentral:rRNA from 1 species
AACGUAGGUCACAAGCGUUGUCCGGAAUUACUGGGUGUAAAGGGAGCGCAGGCGGGAAGACAAGUUGGAAGUGAAACCUAUGGGCUCAACCCAUAAACUGCUUUCAAAACUGUUUUUCUUGAGUAGUGCAGAGGUAGGCGGAAUUCCCGGUGUAGCGGUGGAAUGCGUAGAUAUCGGGAGGAACACCAGUGGCGAAGGCGGCCUACUGGGCACCAACUGACGCUGAGGCUCGAAAGUGUGGGUAGCAAGCAGG